AUUGAACGCUGGCGGCAAGCCUAACACAUGCAAGUCGAACGAGUGGCGGACGGGUGAGUAAUGUCUGGGAAACUGCCUGAUGGAGGGGGAUAACUACUGGAAACGGUAGCUAAUACCGCAUACCAUCGGAUGUGCCCAGAUGGGAGUAGCUAGUAGGUGGGGGAAAGGCGCACCUAGGCGACGAUCCCUAGCUGGUCUGAGAGGCUGACCAGCAACACUGGAACGGAGACACGGUCCAGACUCAUACGGGAGGCAGCAGUGGGGAAUAUUGCACAAUGGGCGCAAGCCUGAUGCAGCCAUGCCGCGUGUAGGAAGAAGGCCUGCGGGUUGUAAAGUACUUUCAGCGGGGAGGCGGUACCCGCAGAGGAAGCACCGGCUAACUCCGUGCCAGCAGCCGCGGUAAUUC
rnacentral:rRNA from 1 species